GGAUUGUGGCUCAGUGGUAGAGCGCAAGACUUUCGCGUGUGAGGCACUGGGUUCCAUCCUCAGUACCA
rnacentral:tRNA from 1 species